CAUUCAAUCCAAAAAUUAAUUUAAAAGGAAAUACAUCUAAUAUCCAAUGUGAUCUCCACCAAUACAUAAUAAAACAUCCCAAAUUGUAAAAGUCAUCCCAAAGUAUAAAAUUGCAGUCAAAUUCCAAUCAAAAUCUAAGAAAAGCAAUAAGAAUUCCGACCACCAAGCCAAGUUACCCAACAAAACUUCCAAAGAUUAAUGCAAGUACUCCAACAAUAAGAUUUCUAGCAAGACUUCCUGUAAAAAUUCCAGCAACAAUAUCAUCUUCCGAUAGCACUCUAAACAAAAAUUGAAACUUACAAAGCGACCUGCAAGCUUCUUGUGAACAAAGUUGAUUCAAA
rnacentral:lncRNA from 1 species